rnacentral:rRNA from 1 species
GAUGAACGCUGACAGAAUGCUUAACACAUGCAAGUUAACCUCUGGCGGACGGGCGAGCAACGCUUAAAGAACUUGCCUCACAGCUAGGGCCAACUUCUAGAAAUGAAUGCUAAUACCUGAUACUGUGAGAGAGCUUUGCGUCCCAUUAGCGAGUUGGAGAGGUAACAGCUCACCAAGGCGAUGCUGGGGAGCCGGCCUGAGAGGGUGAACGGCCACAAGGGAACUGGGAGACGGGCCUUACUCAGACGGGUGGCAGGAGUGGGGAAUAGUGGGCGAUGGACCGAAGUGUGAUGCAGCAAUUCUGUGUGCACGAUGAAGUUUGCGGAAUGUAAAGUGCUUUUAGUUGGGAAGCGGUACCAACAGAGGAAGUGACGGCUAAAUACGUGCCAGCAGCCGCGGUAAUAC